UACGAAGGGGGCGAGCGUUGUUCGGAAUUACUGGGCGUAAAGGGCGCGCAGGCGGAUUUGUAAGUCAGGGGUGAAAUCCCGGGGCUCAACCUCGGAACUGCCUUUGAUACUGCAAAUCUCGAGUCCGGAAGAGGUGAGUGGAAUUCCUAGUGUAGAGGUGAAAUGCGCAGAUAUCAGGAAGAACACCAAUGGCGAAAGCAGCUCUCUGGGACGGUACUGACGCUGAGACGCGAAAGCGUGGGGAGCGAACAGG
rnacentral:rRNA from 1 species